UGGGCCUGGGGGACCCCCAAACAUCUCCAGAGGGACCCCCAGACCCAAAGAAGAGGAGGAAAAGAGAGAUGGGUGAGAGCCUGUUGAGGACUUUGGGGGCGUCGGCGUCGUCCCCGUUCGGGGUGGGGGUCCUGACCCACCUGCUGCGCUGUGGGAGCCCCCAGACCCGCCUGGCCUGCGCUGCUGCCCUGCCCCUGCUGGCCAGCCCCUCGUCCCCGGCCUGGGGGCUGCUCUGGGGUGGGGAGGGGCCCUGGCCCUGCUUUUGGGGGCCCUGCUGGGGAGGGG